GUCCCGGUAGUCACAACAAUAGAUGGGUGUUGGUUAAAUGGUAGGUCCUGGUAGUCACAACAAUAGAUGGGUGUUGGUUAAAUGGUAGGUCCUGGUAGUCACAACAAUAGAUGGGGUGUUGGUUAAAUGGUAGGUCCUGGUAGUCACAACAAUAGAUGGGGUGUUGGUUAAAUGGUAGGUCCCGGUAGUCACAUUAAUAGAUGGGGUGUUGGUUAAAUUGUGAUUUUAAUGAAUGGAGAGAAUUUGGAGCCCAGUUUUUUUUUCUCCUGUGAGUGCAGAGCGGUUCGAAAGGUCAUGGAAGACCCUCUCUGCUGUGAGCGGGAUUUUCAACUGCUAAACUCUGUUCAUAUGGUCUGCCCUCCGCUGAGACUGACCAUCACAUGGAGGCACCAUCAGCCCAGUAAAAUCAAAAGCAAAUUAUUUGAAUGUGUGCUCACUCAGCUGUGCCUCACAAGUAAU
ensembl:lncRNA